GCACUUCAGCAAACCCUUGUCCAUAAGCCCAAGAGCUGGACAAGGGUCAAGAUUGUGCCUAGAGCGACUCAAAGUAUAUCCAGACGAGUCUUCUUUUCGUUGGAGCUUGUCCCUACAACUUUGACACAAUA